rnacentral:lncRNA from 1 species
AUUCUCUUGAUGGGGAUUUAGGCUACAGCACUGGGAAAAUAAUCAUGGGACUGGAUUUCAGGGCCCUGGCCACCUCAGCUCUUCAGGAAUGAAAAGCAUAAUGUUUUCCAUGGUGAUGCUGUGUCUCUACCUCCUCCCUCUGAACCUUGUGAGAGCCACGAACUAGGCUGGACUUUGGUGUCUGCCCUUCAGAUGAUUGGUGCCAUAAGAGGGCCACAAGCGGGCUUUUUAAUGUCAGCUCCAAAACUCGAAGCGUACAUAUCAGGAGCUUGGAAGAAAAGCCUGGAGAAAGAGUGGAGCACUCUUUUUAAUACCUGAUGCAGAUUACAUCUUCUGAUGCCCCCCAAGGUGCUAUUACAGAGGACAACAUGGACAUCAACACCUCUGAUUCAGAAAAAUUGAUCUCUGAAUGCUAUUAUGAAUAAUUGUGCCAUGUACAUGGGUGUUUGGAUAUCUUUGAGACCACACUUUCAGUUCUUUUGGGUAUAUGCCCAGAAGUAGAAUUGUUGGAUCAUAUGGAAGAAGCAAAAGGAAUCUUAAUGAAUUGGAGACAAUUGGAGAUGGUUUAUAAGGAUGAAGUUCAAAGGUUUUUCUUUAGAAGCCAUUGAGUUGGUAGUCUAGGAGAGCACCUUGUAGUGGUAUUUGCAUAAGGAGAAAGAUGUCAAAUAUUCAAAGAUGCCUUUACUCAAAGAGCCAGUGGCACUUAAGUGGCCAAAUAGCUUAUAAGCACUUAUUAAGGUAAGCAAAGCCUCACUCAUUGCUUGUUGUCAGACAUCUGAUUCUAAUUAUGGGAGAGCUAGAUAAACGAUGAUGCUUGGGGUAGAUAGAAGCUGGUAUGCCUUUUCUAAGCUCAUUAGUGCUUACAGCUUGCCAGUUUACACAUACACACACAAGGGGUCUGAAAUAAAGACUAGUUUCUGUGUUGUUUGUGUCUGUAUUCUAGUGAUAAUCUUCUGCAGGGAUAAAUACAGCUUCAGAUGUAACCCUAGAUUAAAAAAGCAAAAAAUAAAAAAAAACCUAGCUUUCAGUUCACAUUUUCUCAAAUCACCCUCCAGCCCUAACCCCUGGAGUAUCACUGGAGCUGUAUUACUGUUAUUUCUCCCUAAAUCACACAAUCCCAUUUCUCUACCGUUUUUUGCUUUCCCUAACUGCACUCUAACCCCUGCCACAACAAGAUCAAAAACAACAUCAAGGAAAACCCCACAAAGGUUUUGUUUAAAUUCCCUUCUACCUCACUUUCCAUCAAAUAAAUUCCUUAGAAGUCAUAUCAUGAUUAAUAUUGUUAGUUUUCAGUAGAAUCAUUCCACUAAUUUCACAAAAAUAUGAAUCAUAAAGAUAGAAGAUUGAACAUUAUUUAUAUAUUCUUAUUUCUUCUACUUUUUAUGUUAGAAUCCUAAAAAACAAAAAUUGAUUUUUACUAAUGUGUCAUUGCUACAUAUGAAGCAUAUAUGAGAAAAUUUACUUAAAUUUAACUCAGUUUACAGUAGCCUCACCCAGCUUGCUAUUACUAUUAUCUUUCAAUAAUUUUUCUCCCCAGCUGCUAUCAGCUGCUACUUAAACCUAUGUGCUUAAUAAAUAGAGUUGGGGUGAUUUUCAUUUCUAUUUUCUUCUUUUCCAUAUUUUCAAAAAUUUUCAAGAGAUUUUGUGAUACUGAUCACCUCCUUGAACUGGGGAAAUAACCAGGAAAUACAUUCCACGUCUCAUUGCCUCUGAAUAACCACAUGCACAAGCAACCAUCGCUUAAGGAAGACUCAGAAUCCUAGGGACAACAGAUCAUGUGUGGUUACAGGCACCAUUUUAAAGAUCAGGCUAGCUCUGAGUUGCCAUGGCAAACUAUUUGAAAUAGUCUGCUCUACAGAUUCUGCCUGCUGUAUGGGGUUGUUUAUAUAGUCCAGUGUAAAUGAUAUCACUGGGAAACAACUAAGCUCCUAUUACAAUGACUAAAAUCAACAAGCAAUGACUUGCCAACAUAAUACUUGUUUAUUCUCAUCUUGGUAUGUGUUUCGUGGAAUACUCCUUACAAUUACCAUACACUUAAAAGGGGAAAUUUUACUGAAUGUAAAUUUUAGUUCAAAAAAAAAAAAAAAAAAAAAA